rfam:Beta vulgaris subsp. vulgaris chromosome 5, whole genome shotgun sequence.
UUGAUAAGGAUGAGCCUAUGAAAUAUUAUAAUCCAACACUUGAUCUGACUUGUUAACACCAAGUGUGAAGUUCAAUUUUCAUUGCUCCUGAAUCUUC